UACAGAUUAAAUGGAAGGUUUUUGAAACAAUUCGGUCAAGAUUUGUAGAAUUUAGAAAAGAAAAACAGAUUUCAAAAAGGAAAAGAAAAAAAAAAGGAGAAAGAGAAAAAUAAAAAGAAUUAUUCGAAGUCAGUGAGUUCUCCAACAAAAAAUGUAAUAACUAAAGCGACAAUUGCCUUCAAAAAAGGAGAGAAAGAAAUUGAGAAUGGGAUGAAAUGCAAUUUCGAAUCAAGUCGAAUUUAUUUUUAUGGAUGAAUUGACUGCCUAUAUAGCGAAAGCAGCAAACUGGUGAAAGCACGCUGAGACAAACGGCAGAGG